GUGUAGUAUGAAAGGAGAGAUGUUUAGCACUCCCCUAGACAAGGACGGAAUACACAUGAUUGGUAAGGCACUGUCGGUCAAUCCGGCGCUUACCACCAUUUUUA